rnacentral:lncRNA from 1 species
GAAGUGUGUUUACUACAGCGGCUCUGACUGGGGACUCUGCUCGCGAUUCAGUCUCUAAUUUUUAGACGGCAGCCGCUCCAUCUCAAAACCGUCGACCCUUGCCCAGACGCUAGACUCUCUGCCUCUGUCCCUUUCCUCCGCGGACGAGUCGCCGUUGCCUGGAAGCGCCCACAGUGACCAGAGGCCCCGUGUGAGGCAAGAUUUAGCCCCGCCCUCGGGGGCCGUGAGCGGCCACCAUUGGCCGAGGCUCUCCGAGACCCGGAUGAGCACGGGUAUGCGGGGAGUUCGCGAGCGCGCGCUCAGUUCCGGUCCACAGUUUGGGGAAGUCUAUGAUCAAGGACCAGGCAGUUUAGAUGUCUGCUAAAGUCGGGUGAGUUUAACCAUUUUUUUCUUUCAGCUAAUAUUCAUUGAGCUCUUGGUAUCGGGUGUUAUGUUGUUUACGUAAUUAUCACAUUUAAUUCUCUUAGCAACCCUGUGAGGCCGAUACUCUUGUCAUCUUCUUUUCUCAGAGAGGAAACUGAGGUACACAGGAGUUAGGACCUUAGCCUAGGGUCAGAUCAGCACACACACACUCUUGUCUCUCCAGUUCGGCAAGAGGCAGAGCACCAUUCCCUCUCUGCAUUCAACCAAUUCAUACACACCACCUUCUGAAUGCUUAAUAGUGACUGGGCCUCUCAAAUACCAAGCAGGACCCAGAGCCAAGGGCUGCAAAAGGAUGGACUUCAGGAAAUGCAGCCAUGGGAACAUGGAAGAUGGGUGGGGAGUCAGGUGGAUGUGGUAGAGGAGAGAACUAGAGGACCUGAGGUCUAAGGGGAAAUCUUGGGGACACACAAACACACACAAAAAGGAAAAAUCAAUUACUUCUCCAAACAAACUGGGGCGUUUAAAAAUAUUGAUUAGUGGGAGUUCCUGCUGUGGCUCAGUGGGUUAUGAACCUGACGGGUAUCCAUAAGGAUGAGGGUUGGAUCCCUGGCCUUGGUCAGUGGGUUAAGGAUCUGGCAUUGCCGCAAUCUGUGGUAUAGGUCGCGGAUGUGGCUCAGAUCCUGCAUUGCUAUGGUUGUGGUUGUGGCACCAGCCUGCCACUGCUGCUCCAAUUCUACCCCUAGCCUGGGAACAUCCACAGGUUGCAGAUGCAGCCCUAAAAAGAAAAAAAAAUACAUAUCAAUUAGUCCAAGUUCUCUUUUGGCACCAGUGGUUUAAGAAUCCUGCAUUGGCUUGGGUUGCUGUUGUGGCAUGGGUUUGAUCCCUGGCCAGGAACUUCCAAAUGCUGAGAGCACAGUCAAAAAAAAAAAAAAAAAAAAAAAAAAA